AGAUUACGUCGAAGCACCUGAUAUUGAUCAGUGGGUUUCUUCGAUUGUAAGUUUUUCCACUCAAUACACGAAAGAAUCACGAUGGGCCGCCAGUGAGAUGAUUGGAGCAGCUAAUGUAUAUCCGAACUAUGGCGAUAAAAAAGGGCGUGGGCUCAAAAGGAUGAGGGGGUCGGAAUUGAGUACAUUGAGGUAAUGUUCACGAAGAAAGUUUUCGUUUCUAAAGUUGACAUCUAUGAGACGUGGAAUUCUGGGGGCGUGACGUCAAUCAAGGGCGUCAAUCAGGGCAGUGGGUCGUUCUGUGGUCAGGGGCCGCAAGUCAUAUACAGAACGCCCGCAUUUUCAGUCCGCCCCUAUUGACGACCGAAUGUUUCACGAAUCAUAUUCGCAUUGAGGUGGACACUUCAAUUUCAAACUCGUGGGUCGAAAUAGAUGCAGUGAAGCUGCACGGGAAAGAAAACAUACAAGUUGCACGUUUGCAAGACGUCGAGGUAUAUUCCGCUAGAGAGAGGAACGCAUACACGUUAGCCAAUUAUCAAUCUGGUGUUGCCGGUGACAGUGUAACUUUCACCCAAGAUAUGUUUGCACGCUGGAUCAAAGUCACACGACGUACGCCUAUUAAAUCACUCAGCUUAUGCGAAGUGUUGGUUUUCGGUUUUCUGCCGGAUG